GCCCUGAUGGUCUAGUAGUAUGAUUCCUUGUUAGGGCCAUCGCCUAACUUCGAGGAGGUCCCCGGUUCAAUUCCGGGUUAGGGCC